AAGCAUGAGUGAAAGUGGGAUCGUCGUCCGUCCAAAGGGCAAUUAUGACAUUUCCACCAAAUCCGGAAGCUUCUCACUUUCUCCACAUGCCCCUUUGUAUAAAAAUAAAAAUAAAAAAAUCUCUAUCUCUAUCAGCAAAGAGACGCCACAUGCAAGUUAGAUCUAAAAAAAGAUCCAUUGCUACGUCUUCUACAAGUUUUGCUCAAAUUUCGUUCUUUUCUCGAGAACACUGUUUGAGUAUUUUGGAGUUGGAGAUUUAGGCUUGAAGGAGAAAGAGUUUAGGGCAAAACUUUGAGCUCAAUUUUAAAGUUAAUAUUCAUUUUAGACUAUUCUUCAAAUUUUUUGUACUCUUCUCUUGAUUAUUGUUGUCAUGAGUUCUUUAGGCGGAGAUGUGGGAUUGUUUUACUCUAAUUUUCUCAAUAUAAAACAUAUACUCUACAUAGUCCGCUAAUUUGAGAAGGUUAGCACACUAUUUAUUCUGUAUUUUGCUUAAUUUUUUUGGGGAUAAUGUUUGGGUAAAAUAGAAGAAACUGAAUGUUUGAAGGAAAAGUUCUUCAAGAAUGGUGAGCAGGAAGGUAUGUAAUUCUUUUGCUUUUCAAUUUGUUAAUAGGAGUAUCAAUAUACUAUAUGUGCUUCCUGAUUCUCUGUUAGGAGAAACUAAAAAUCUUCAGGUUUAUUUUCUGAGAUAUUGUUGUAGGGAGUGACAAGAGGCAAUGUGAUAGAGAAAUUUUUAAAAAAGAAUAUGAUGAUUCCUUAUUGCAGAGGAGAUUCACAAAUUUAACUGUAGUUAAGAUACAAAUUACAGCUUUAAAUAAAUUUCAUGUAACCACAUCAAAUAGUUGUGUUGUUGGUAAAGUUAAACAACUUAUAUUUUUUUAUUUUUACAUGACUGAACUCACAAAACAAGUGAAUUUCUUAUCCGGAAAAGAGUUCCUAUCAAUGCAAGAUGUUCAGAAUCCAAGUGAAAGAAUCAUUUGCACGCAAUUAUCAACCAACAUCUGGAAAGGUGUAUAUUCAGUCAUGUGCUGAAAACGAAAAGUAGUCUGGUUCCUUCCUGACACUAACCUUGAAUGACAUUGGAGAAGACAACAAAAAAAUGAACACUUUUGUUCAGUCAAAGGAGACACAAAAGUAGCAACUGAACGAGGUGGAUUUGAAUAUGGGGAGGGUGGGGGGUAGGGGGUGGAAACAACUUUAAUGGAAAAUAUAAUGGGAAAAAAAAUAAGUGGAAGAGUCUGAAGAACAAUUUGUUUGGAGUAUACUUUUGUUGUCUAUUCUCUGGAUUUUAUAUUAUUGAUUGAAAAAAACAUUUUCCUUUUCAGGAGACAUCAGCUAUGUCCAGUUGUGCUAUACCAGUGGCUUUGAAAUGUCUAACAGGUGACAUUUUGGAAAGUACUUAUGAGAGCAUUUAGGACCUUGGCAGAAUGUCUCCUAGCCAAUCUGUAUAAUUUCACGCUUAAGAUGCUGUGGUGUUAGUUGGUUGAAUUAAUAACCUAUUUUCGGUCAUAUAGCUUCCAGGCCAUGAUUUGAAAGUGGUUGACAACAAGAACUGGUAUACUUCAGUUAGAAAUGCCUGCAAGUGAAGCAUUGCAUAGUGAAGGAAGAAUUGUUGCUUUAUCAGAGUGGAGAGUGCUUUAUUUUCUUUGCAAGGACAAAAAUGGCUAGCUGCCCAAAUAAAGAUCCAUAUUUAUAUAAUCGUUGUGAACGGAUAGAUGUAUCUUGAAUGAAGAAUGUCUCAUAUUGGGUGUACAUAUAGUGGAGACUCUGGUGCAACUUACAUUAUUGAGACACACAUUCUUCUAACUGUUCUAGCCUCGCUAUAGCAAAUAAACAGAAUUCUUGGAAAUUUGCACAUCAUUUUUCCUUUAUUAGCAAACUACAUAACUGUCCUAGGAAUGUUUUCAGGGAAUAUUUCUUAGACUGAACAAAUUUUAGGACAUAGGACUUUGGAAUUUCAACACCUCAUAUAACGUUUAUUCAAUGCUAAAAGUUUUAGAAUAUCACAUGUUAUUCAUGCAAGUUUUAAUAAGCCCACCGCUAGAAUCAUAUCGAGAGUGCAACAUAAGCUGAUGCUCCUAAGAGAGCCCUCGAGGCAUAAAACUCCCUGUUGUCAGUAGACAAUCCAUAUAUUCGAAGCAAAUUCUAUAAAUAGUUGACAUGAGUUAUGGUUAAUCUCGUGAAGUGCUAAUUUCUCAGUAGGUGGAUUUUUCAUUUAUAUGAAUCUAUGUUUUAAUAUAACAAUCAAAUAGUAACAGGUUGGUUUUGUAUUUGAGUAAUCAUCGGAUGAGUGCGAUAUCUAUAAAUUUGUUUUGCACUGAAAUCAGGAUCUGAUGAAAGGCGAAAUUCGACAUUCUCUAUCGGCAUGGCUGCUUGAUUUCUUUAAAUUUUGGGUUUAAGGGCUUUUUCGACUUUGAUAUAAUCUGAUGCAACGUAUCCUUCAAUUCUGAAACUGAAUAGCGAUCGAAUCAGCUAUGCCGCCCAAUUUAGUUUAUCAGAAACACGUGUUUUAUCCUUUUUAGUGUAAGGAUCUUAUGUGUAACUUGAGCUUAACCCUGAGCCUUAACAUAUUGUUGCCGCUCUCUAUGCUCUGAUGCUCAGGUUAGGGUUGAAGGCUCAAACUUCCUCUUGCUACCAAAUCAUCUGACGAAGGAUGAGAAAGCUGUACUUGAUUUAAAUGGGACAAAUUCGCUCUCUACCAAAUCAUAUUGCAAAGAAGUCGGUUGUAAUCUUUGCUGGGGAUUCAAUCGAGGGUCAGAGAUUAAAUCUUGAAGGAGAAGAGCUUACGGCAGGAACCCCUUAAGCUUACCGUCCUCAAAUUGGAUGUCUCUUCUUUCGAUAUUGAAGUGUGUAGAAAUGGGAGCUUGGAAACUCACAAAAGGGUGGUGCAGCUCUUCAGAAUUCCCUGAAGGAUCGGAGUGGAACCGGGUUCCUAAUUCUGCACAUCAAAGGAAAACGUAAGCUGUCAAUCAUGUAUUUUCCACUUUAUCUGGAUAUGUAGUUAAGACCAACUAUAUAUCUUGUACCCAAAUUGUAUUCUGUUUUUACUUUUGAUUAAUGCUUCUCAGAGUUUAAUGUACAGUUUCAGUGCUUUGUCUUAUCUCAAUUUGUCCCUUAGAUAAUGACUGAUGUUAAUGAGAUAUAACUUAUAAGUACGAUAUUAAGCUUAAAUUAAGGGUCUUGAUUAUAAAAGCUCCUUUAAAGAUCUGAAACUAUAUAGAAGAAUCCUACAACUAAGCUCAAAGUCUGGGUGAUUCUAACUUCUCAACUAAUGACGACUCCUGAAAAAAAUGUGUUCAUCUGUUUGAUAAAGUUAGACUAACAAAGUUCUAACAUACUAUGUGGUUUUAGCAGUUACCAGUUUCAAAAAAACAUACUAUGUGCUUUUAUGGGGCAAUUUAGAGAAAAAUUCCAAGGAAUGUUGUGAUUGUACCUCACUCUAUUGGUGGAUACAAAGUUCCAUUUUCCAAAAAAAACAAAAGAAUUUUUGUUCUGGGUUUGACAAAAGAUUUUUCAGAUUCCGUACUGCAAAUCAAAGCCAAAUAGAAAUAUAGAAUAGAUCUUUGGUUCUAGAAAAGGUUCGGACCAAAGGAAAAAUUCAACAUCUUAUUUCCUCGCUAUGUCGUAUUUCUGCUAAACCAUCACUUUUUUCAGUAUUUUCAAAUCAAGAGACCAUAGCUUAAGAAUAAAAAAUUGAUAUAAGUAGAAUCUCAAUUUUGAUUCAACUUUGUCUCUUAGAGUUCCUGUGUCUGACUAACAUGCAAGUAUUGCUGCUUUGAGACGGACGGAUUGUAGUUGGCAAAGUGAAUUGCUUUACCUUUUCUAAGAACCAGCACAAGGUAAUUUGUUCUAAUUUUUAGGAGUUAACAGAAAACAAGAAACAGUUGGACUUAUAAAUAUGAUUUUUUGGCUGUUUCUCUGUUAUCCCUACUCUUCAAUGAUUCUCCUAUGAAGCUUACCUCUUUUUCCUAAAAGACACAUUAUAUGAGGAGGGGAAGUUUGAUAUUGUACAAAGGAAAUUAACGAUAAAGGCAUCAUAUUUGAAAUGGGGAGACCAUUGGCAGAAAACCAAGGUUUGGUCUUUUAAUGUUCUUUAUCCUCCCCUCUGCUGUUGACAUAUGAAUCCCGUCUUAUCAACACCCACGGGACGUGUGGAUAAGCCUUUUUGGAUGUUCUGAUAGAUGGGUUUGCCCUAUAAAAACCCCCGGGUUGUAUCUUACAUACUUGCAAUUGUGCAAGAUUGGCGGAUAAAAGAGAUGCCUGUUUAUGUUUAUAUUUUAUGCAGGAAUAUUAUGAGGUUAUUUCUGUUGUGCAUCAUGGUUAUCUGGUUGAUCUUUACGGCCUUGCUAACCAUAUAGGUAAAGUUCCAGCCUUGCAGGUGGCAUGACACUUUUUUAGAAAUACGUCCAUGCAUAUUGCUGGUGAACUCAUACUGUGAGAUGAUUUACCACACAGUAAACUUGGCGCCAAUAGUUGCACAAAGCUUUCCACAUUUUGGCAAUAUUUAAUGUGGAGCAUGGAGGCUAUCAGGAAUUUCUGAUGUAAGGAUGACGAUGAAAAACAUUAGCAGGCAAAAUCAAAUGAUGAAUUUCGUGUGAUGUCUCAUGUCAUGUCUUUUUAUGGCAUUUAAUCUUUUGGCUUUGAAGUUGUACUAUUAAAAAAAAGUUUUGUUCUUUCAAGAAAUUUCUAUGUAGCAUAAAUAGUCAGCAACUAUGUAUACUCCGCAUGUACAUAUCCUAUUUACGCACAACAACUAUUUAUGUUCAAUUUGUUUGAGUAGGAUGAAAUAUAAGGGCAUUUCUAGACUUUAGAGG